AACAAAGGGAUUAAGUCAAUUACAUUGACCCCAGUGCAAAACUGGUACUUAUUUAAUUGACCCCGAAAGAUGAAAGGCAAAGUUGACCUCGGUGGAAUUUGAAUUUAGAAUGUAAAGACAGACGAAAUAAAGUUAAGCGUUUCGCCCAGCAUGCUAACGUUUCUGCCAGCUAGCCGCCUUAAUAAAUAAAAUGUUAAACAAGUAAGUAUUGUACAGGAACAUCUUUGGGAGAUUUGUAAAUCAUAGAUAGAAAAAAAACAAAGAAUGCUAAGGAUUGGUUUUGAAGUGAAGUUUUAAAGAACUUCCUGCUCUCAGUUACUAUUCAAGUGAAUUAUUUACGCAUGCAUACACACAUAUGCCCAUUUUUAUGGCACACACAUAUGUAUGUAUGUAUGUAUAUAUAUAUACCUAUAUUUAUAAAUAAUUAUCUACAUAACGUACACAAACGCAUGCACACAAGUAUUUAAAGUCACACCAAUACACUAAAAUUAUACACAGAAAGGAACAUAGAAUCUUAUUGACAAAAUAUAUUAAAUCUCACUUUAGACACAAACCCCAAAAUAUAAGAAGUCACUGUAUAGCUUAUACAUAUUGAUUCUACACUCUUCAUUGGAAUUAGUUUAUCAAACCAACGAAAGAACUAACAAACAAACUGAUCCCAACAAGAUUUGGAAUCAGAAUAUAAAGGAUCAAAAUUAUAAAAAAAAAAAACAACGUUUAGCUUGACGCUGCAUUGAUUCGGAGUCGUUGCUGCACUUGUGGAAAUUAUAUUUUUAAUUAACCAAUUAUGAAUUGCAUUUUCAUUUUACUUUGUCUCCUGCAAAUAGUUUACAGCAAUGAGGAUCAGAAUAAACAUUCCAAGAGUGCAAAAGAUCUACAAAUACAGAACAAUCGAAUGCCAAAAGGUUACUGCUGGAGAAUCAAAUUCUAUAUUCCAAGGAAACUUUUGUCUGGAACCUCAAACUAUAUCACUGUUCAAUUAAUCAAUGA